GUGGGCACGGGUGACAAACGGGUGACAAAAUGGCUCUGGGUGGGCACGAGUGACAACAAACGGGUGACAAAAUGGCUGUGGGUGACAACAAACGGGUGACAAAAUGGCUCUGGGUGGACACAGGUGACAACAAACAGGUGACAAGAUGGCUCUGGGUGACAACAAACGGGUGACAAAAUGGCUGUCGGUGGAUACGGGUGACAACAAAUGGGUGACAAAAUGGCUCUGGGUGACAACAAACGGGUGACAAUGGCUGUCGGUGGACAAGGGUGACAACAAACGGGUGACAAAAUGGCUGUGGGUGCGCAGGGGGUGACAGCAAAUGGGUGACAAAAUGGCUCUGGGCGGACACGGGUGACAAUAUAUCGGUGACAGAAGGGCUCUGGGUGACACUAAACGGGUGACAGUGGUUCUGGGUGACAAUAAAGCGGUGACACAGUG